GCUGGUUGGCACGCACGGUGGAGUGUCGCCGCUUCAAAUGGCGCAGGCGUACGGCGUGUUCGCUUCAGGCGGCCGCUU
rnacentral:tRNA from 1 species